CAGCCCUUCAAAUACUGAGUUUUGAGACUUGUCCAAUAGAUUGCGGGUUUUUAAAAAUUAGGCGGUUGAGUUGCGUAAUUAGCAACGUAAUUGGCAACGCCGCUUUAAUUUCCACGAAAGUUCGUCUGCUCGCCAAUGCUCCCCAAAUGCAAAAGCCAAAAGUCAAAACGGUCAAAACAUCAUUCUUUUGUAUCUUGUAAGUUGUAAGCUCGAAGAGUGUGGUUGUUCGUUGUUUGUUUUACACGCGGUUGCAACAGAGAAGUCAAACCAAGGAAAUGUGUGAUCUACAAAUCGGCAGGCUGUCUAAGUGUGACAAAAUUAUGUCAUCUACUUUCCAAGACUAAGAGUGUGUAUGUAUCAAGCUUCAUUACGGGUUCCUUCUGAAACAUUCUGAAAACAACAACUGAAAACAACAGCUCAAGGUUUUAAAAAGUUCAACCUGCAGACGGACCGGCCUGUUUGCCGCUGAAGGUCACGGUGAAGAUUACGUGUAAAACUGUCAAUGCGGUGGUGUAGAGGUUGGGUGAGAAAGACCCAUCCCCAGCAACGCCAACCUAAAGAAGGAAAGGCCAGUUUGCAUUUCCUUCAUGCUCGAAGGUCACGGAGGUCAUAACGUAAUACGUAUCAUGCGACGGCGGAGAGGUUGGGUGAGAAAGGUACGUGUUUCAUCAUUAUCAAACAGGAGAGAGAAAAGGCCAGAGACAUCAGUCGAGUGAGGAUCUCCGACACGGCAACAUCUGCUGCGCAAUAUCUGUCACCAUCUGCCUUCUUCACCGUAUUGAAAGUUCGCAUCCAUGGUUAAUAAGGCGUCGUACGCUGUUCGGUGUUGUGUCGUUGUUUGGUGGGUCGACCACUGGUGUAUCGAUGUCUUCUUGGUAUGGCGGCUACCAAACCGCAACGCCACCACCUUCCCAAAAGCAACUCACGCAACGACCAGUUAUUGCACCAAGGUCUACAAGUACUACACUACCAAGGCACCGGAGUUUUAUACCACAAUUUCCGCUGCCCCCAGCCACUACACUGACGUCCUGAAGAAUUACUCUGCCCCGAGUUACUACACCACCAAGGCGACGGAGUAUGACUUUGCAUGCUGCUCCAUCCUACUACAUCGAGGCUCCCAACUGCUACACCGAGGCUCCCGCUGAUUACUCCACCGAGGCUCCCGCUGAUUACUCCACCGAGGCUCCCGCUGAUUACUCCACCGAGGCUCCCGCUGAUUACUCCACCGAGGCUCCCGCUGAUUACUCCACCGAGGCUCCCGCUGAUUACUCCACCGAAGCGGUAAAGUACUACUCUGCCCCGAUCUACACAACCACAACUGAGGCGGUCAAGUAUUACGCUGUCCCAACGUACUACAGAGAAGCUGCUCUUUUGGCUACGUUGAACAGAAAUACUACACUGAUGCUCCAGUUCACUACACCACGACCUACGCUAAACCGCAGCCCCCAGGUACUACACCGAAGAAGCCGCCUAUUACACAACAACGUAUG